AGUAAUGAAGUAAAAAUUACAUAUAGUUUCGACCUAUAAAUAAGAGAAAUAUUAAUUCUCCAUACUU
rnacentral:tRNA from 1 species